CCCGGCCCGCGCAGCCCCUGCAGCCUCCGCAGCCUCCCCGAGCGCUGGCGGGCAGCCUUUGGGGGUGCUGGCGGCGCGCGGCGCCUUCGAGCCGCAGGGGCGGAGAGGGCUCUCUCGAGGAGCCGCGGGACAGGCGACUAGGGCCGAAGCUGCUGCCCAAAUCUGUGCCGGCCCCUUGGCUUGCAGGUCUGCUUUAUUCAUCCCUUCGACUCGCCGCAUGUUGUAAUCACAGGCUGGUGAAGGCUAACUCCCACCGAUGCGCUCCUUUCCCUUGCUCCUUUUGCUGCUGUUCUGCCCCCGGGCCCAGUGCAGCCGCUGAACCGUGCCAGCCCUGCCGUCUCACCGCGGCCAUGGCACUCCCGCUUGCAGAGCGGCAUAAUUUUACAACGGGUGAAAAGGCAGAACAUGUGAACGAAGUUUAUUGCCUAAUUUUUCAAAUUCUGUAUCCUGUCAUCAGAGGAAGCUACAUCAGCUCAUCCUACUCUGAAAUGCAUUGAACUAUAUUAAUUUACUUUGUAUUCUACUAAUAAACUAUUCUGGACUAAA